GGCAGCAGUGGGGAAUAUUGGACAAUGGGCGAAAGCCUGAUCCAGCAAUGCCGCGUGAGUGAUGAAGGCCUUAGGGUUGUAAAGCUCUUUUACCCGGGAAGAUAAUGACUGUACCGGGAGAAUAAGCCCCGGCUAACUCCGUGCCAGCAGCCGCGGUAAUACGGAGGGGGCUAGCGUUGUUCGGAAUUACUGGGCGUAAAGCGCGCGUA
rnacentral:rRNA from 1 species